rnacentral:rRNA from 1 species
UACGUAGGGUGCAAGCGUUGUCCGGAAUUAUUGGGCGUAAAGAGCUCGUAGGCGGUCUGUCGCGUCGGCUGUGAAAACCCGGAGCUCAACUCCGGGCCUGCAGUCGAUACGGGCAAACUGGAGUACUGCAGGGGAGACUGGAAUUCCUGGUGUAGCGGUGAAAUGCGCAGAUAUCAGGAGGAACACCGGUGGCGAAGGCGGGGUCUCUGGGCAGUAACUGACGGUGGAGGAGCGAAAAGCGUGGGGAG